ensembl:lincRNA
CAAAAUUUAUUAGAAGGAGAAAUACUUAUUCAGCAUUAUUUAAGUAUACUUCUAUAUUUUAUUUUGUCUUCCAGAUAUCACAUAUUUUAUAGAACUGAUCUAAGCCAUUGAGAAGACUUAAAAGUCCCAUGGACAUGAGCUUUUGUCUUUACAUUCCUUUUCUUGCUUUUGGAACAUACAUCCAUACUGAAGGUAUGAAAAAAGAAAUAUAUGCUUGUUACCUGUCUGAGGUUGAUGCCUCUGGUUCCAGCAUAAGGGCUUUCUUUGAGUGGUUUGCCAGUAAGGUAGGUCUAAGAAGUUGGAUCCUAUCUCAAAAGACCUUAAUCUCAUGUCUCUUAGGACAUUCUCUCAUCAAGAAAUUCUAUUCCUAUUAUUGCAGAUUCUAAGUUGCUAGCAAGUCUGGUUACAUUUUUUGGACAGAGAAUCUUUAGGUGCUUUUUGUUACUGUGGUUGUUGUUUUGGUUUGCUGCUUGAUUCUCUUUUGAUUUGUUUUAUUUAUUUAUUUACUUAUUUUCCUCUUACGUUUAUUUCUGCAGACUAUGUUACCUGGACUUUCCAGAUAUAGAUUUCUGUUUGGCUGAGGGAUGGAUCCUCAUGCUCUUCUUGUCUCAGAAGGUUUCCCAAUUCCAACAAAGUAGAUUAUUUGCUACUUUCUAUUUUCCCUACACAAAAUCAUCAUGGAUAUCCAAAAUUGAUGCAGACAUGUAGCUGAGCAAUUACUAUUCUUUAUCAGUAAUCAAGAUCUGACAUUAAUAAUUAGGUACAUUUAAUUUAUGCGGCUACCCUAAUAUUUAACAAAACUUUUAAAGUAUGUUCAGUAAACAAAAAGCUAAAUUAGAAAAAGAACAAUGAUGAAUUGAUAUAAUACUUCAACAAUCAAGAGUUGUACACAGAUAGUUCUGUGAAGCACCAUAGAAUAAUUGGAAUUUAAAGUGACUAAUGUAGCUAAAUAGAUACGCAUUUGAUAUUGCUUUUGAAAAGGAAAGUAAAAGUUAUGGUCUGAAAAAUAUAAUUCUGGAAUACAAGAAUACAAGAAUUUGAAUUAAAUACUUAUGUCAAUAAUUUUGCUUCUAUAAAUGAAUGUUAUGUGUGAAUGAAAAAAUAUAUAAAAGACUUCAGAUAAAAAUAAAAUAUAUAAUACCUAAUAUUAUAUUUACAAAUAAUUAAAAAUAGUUUAUUGCAUUGUAUGGUAUAAAUGAAUUUUUGUUUUAGGCAAGUUUAUUCAAAUUGAUUCUGGUCAAGUUGCUUGUUUUAUGGGACACUAAUUUAAGUAUCUCAAAGCAUUAAGUACCUUAGAAUAUUCAUUUCUGACUGGGCACGGUGGCUCAUGCCUGUAAUCCCAGCACUUUGGGAGACUGAGGCGGGCAGAUCACGAGGUCAGGAGAUCAAGACCACAGUGAAACCCUGUCUCUACUAAAAAUACAAAAAAUUAGUGGGGCGUUGUGGUGGGCACCUGUGGUCCCGGCUACUCGGGAGGCUGAGGUAGAACGGCUUGAACCCGGGAGGCGGAUCUUGUAGUGAGAGGAGAUCGUGCCACUCCACUCCAGCCUGGGCGAUAGAUAGAGACUGUCUCAAAAA